UACGUAGGGGGCAAGCGUUGUCCGGAUUCAUUGGGCGUAAAGAGCUCGUAGGCGGUUUGUCGCGUCGGCCGUGAAAUCUCCACGCUUAACGUGGAGCGUGCGGUCGAUACGGGCAGACUUGAGUUCGGUAGGGGAGACUGGAAUUCCUGGUGUAGCGGUGAAAUGCGCAGAUAUCAAGAGGAACACCUGAGGUGAAGACGGGUUGCUGGGCUGAUACUGACGCUGAGACGCGAAAGCGUGGGUAGCAAACAGG
rnacentral:rRNA from 1 species